GUAAGGGGCAUGUGAGAACGAGUGAGGGAGGGGAAGGAGUAAACCAACUGAGGAAAUGUGGAAUGUCUGGCUCCACCUUCAGCUAAAAAAAAAGCAAAACAAGUUUCACCAUGAGGACAGAACGACCUCCACCUGACCUCAACCUCCUUGCUCCUUCCUCCAACCACCCACUCAAGCAUUUAUUAGCCUUGAGCAUCGUUUCAUUUAUAUAUGAGUGGUUACGUGUGAAAAUCUAACCACUGCCUUUUUUCUAGGCUGGGAAAUGGAGGCGGUCUGAUCUGAUAAUAGGAGGUGUGUGAUUCAGGAACUGCCAGUACGUGGGAUUUGAUGGUGUCUGUGGGUCCUGUUUCCUAAUUGCAAGAGGCAGCUGACUGCACCAAUGCGGAACUGGGUCAUUUGGGCCAACUUACUCACCUGCUGUUUGGUUAAGAUUGCACCGUCGAACUCAACUGUUAAGCCAACAUGGACGAAAAGUACAACAGGAGCUCAGAAUCAAGGGAAGUCUAUAGUUCCAUGACAACUGAGCAACCUACAUCUGCCAAUGAACACUGUGCGAUACAAUCGAAAGCUCCAGAACAAAGGGCAAGUGGAUCUUGAGUUGAGACUGUUUUGUCAACAAUCUUCAUGAAGCUUUAAAUGUUUUUGUUGUCAAGUUUUGUCAAGUUUUCAAUCAACUCUAUGAUAAUCUAUCAGUUUGUGGAGUUGAAAUUCAGUCCUCAUUCAUGUCAGUGAACAGGGGGGUGAGAUGUGUUUGCUUCCAGCAGAGAACUGGUCUCACCCUCUUCAUGUUGCACAAACUUUGAUUGGAGCGAAUUGCACCUGUGAAAUUGUAAAGUUUUUCAAUGUCCAGCCAAUUUGAGAGGGCUGUUUGGGGGUUGAACUCUCAUUCAGGAAGUACUGAGUGACUGGAUUUGGCCAGGGCUGUAAACAUAAACUGAAAGAGCUAGGGUUGCUAGUCUGCUAACAUCAUUUGAGAAGUUGUAACUGAAACAGCUUGUUAUGAUUUUAUUGUCAUCAAACUCCAUAAGUUUCAACUACACAUAUGUGCAAUCACUGUUUGCUUCAUUUCUCAAACUUCCUGCUAUCUCCUUGUUACAGGCCUUUACUUAGGAAUGUUGGGAAGAUAUUCUCAGCAGUUAGUUCUACCUCUUCGAGUGCUCGUCUGACUUUGAUUCGGUUCCCAGGUUUUACAUAAUUAUAUUUUACAAUAAACAGACUUAUCAAGCUGGCUGCAAACAGAGACAAUCUAUAUGAUAGGUUUACUCUUUUCUUCUACCAAAUUACAACCCUAUGUUUUAUUCUUGCCCAGAGAUAACAGUGUUUUAGAUCUCUUUGUGUACUACAUUGUCUAAAACUCUGAAUAUUGUGCUGAAUCUCAGUCCCUUGAUUGAAGUUUUUGGUGCAGCUAAGGGUUUAGUUGGUCUUCCAGAAAGAGAGAUACUAUGGCUUUUGCAUCACUUGGUGUCCAAAUCCACCCUCAGCCUCGUAUUGGCUACAGGAUUUGAUUAGAUAAAAUGAAAUAUAUUUUAAGAGGUUCCACUGAUAACGUCCAAAAGAGAUGGUAGUCUGUAUUUGCUGUUGAGUCAUUUACCUCCUCGAACUCGGUCUAAUAGUUGGUAAAUUACCUAUUCUAUUUUUAUUGCCGACAGUUGUGUUGGGUGAAGUACUGAGUUACAGGCAGAAAAUACGGAACUUGUUUGAUAUGCCAUUAUUGAUAAAUUCCUCGAUGCUCUCUAUAUAUGUAUUUUAUGCCUUAUGUUUUAUUCUUUAUUUUAUUUUAUCAUUUCUUUCUUAAUUAUCUUGUGAUGGGGCAGUCACUCAGUUGUAGAGUGACUGACAGAAUGGGUGGGUUUGAUGCUUCUGUUGUUUGGAAUGGAGGGGUGAAAAAGGAAACUGAUGAAGGGAAAUAUGUUGGUGUACCAUUGAAUAUGCAUGUCCCCAAUAAAAUUUCUGACUUA